rnacentral:SRP_RNA from 1 species
GGUCGGGGCCCGGUGACUGCGGAUCCGUGAACCCCGCCAGGUCCGGAAGGAAGCAACGGUGUCGGUCCCCGCAGGGCAUCGGACACCCCGGCCAUC